GACACGGUAGCGCAGUGGUUAAGUAGGCUUGACUUGGGACCAAGAGGUCCUGAGUUCAAGUCCUUGCUAUGGCC